UCCCCGCGGCGCUGGGAGUCCCGGCGGGCCCUGCUGCUGCUGCUGCUGCUGUGCUGCGGGGCGCCGGCUGCACCUGCCACGGACAUGGCUGGAAAUAGGCUGUUCUAGAGCAGGGAUCAAUGGCCUGUAUUGGGGACCCCAGAGCUGGAUGCAGCAGUGGAGGUGGAAACUUGACAGAGCAGAGGGGCAGAAGUUGGAUUUACCAGAGUGUGGGAGGUAUUGCUGCUGUGCCCCAUCUGAGAUCACUUUUAUUGGUGACUCUCACAAGGCUCUCCUUUGCCCUUUUAUGACAAAAUGAUCUGGUUCCUGUUUCUGGCCUUGGAUGGAAGAAGGAUCACCACAGACAACUUGCUCUGACCAUUUGUCUUGGAGUGGCAAGACCUUGAAUGCUUGUGGAGAGCCUGUGCACAACGUCCUGCCAGAAUUUACAAGCAUAAGACUCGUGUUGUUCUGUAUAAGGGCUUAAGGAAACAUAAUGGAUACCACUGUGUCUGGGCACUAGCAGAACCACUUCAGCAGCUGAAAUUGUCCUCAACCAUAGCAAUCAGAAACAAAGGAACACAAUUCUUAAAAAACAUACUAAUUGCCUUUAAAAAGUGAGCAGACUGCUGUUCAAAACAAAAAAAGUACCUAAAACAGGUACCAAGAACUCAAAUUUUUUCAAUCUAAGUACAAAUUAGCAAUUGUAAAUCAGCCUAAUGUCUAUUUAUUGUCAAAGAAUUUAGUUUAAGUCAACUACAACUCUAAAAUAAUUUUUCAUUAAGAUCUUGAGGAUGAAAUUACCCUUAUGAGACCAAACUGUAAUCUGAGACAAAGGUAGAAAUUUGUUAGAAUGAAAAAAUUAAUACUGUUUCAGUAUUUUGCAGGUUUGCCAGUUACAAUAUAAUAAUAACAAAAUGUAUAAUCUGUUCAUGUGUUUGUAAUUUGAAAUUUUUAAACAAAGGAUGGAAAUCUCUUCAAUUUUAUGGAAACCUCACUAAACUCAAUUAUUUUAACAAAUUUCACUAUAAGUAAUAGUUUUAAUCCCUCAGUGUUUUAAAAUGGAACAAGAAAACAUAAAUCUCUAUAUGCUGAUAGUGUUUCAAGUGUGCAGGAAUGGUUAAAUAAAUGUGUUGGAAAAACUUUAA